CCAAUAGCGUAUAUUAAAGUUGUUGCAGUUAAAAAGCUCGUAGUUGAAUUUCGGGAUCAAUUUAUUGGUCGUGCUAUUGUACGUACUGGUAUUAUUGAUUCCUACCUUCUGACGAACCAUGAUGUCAUUAAUUUGGUGUCAUGGGGAAUCAGGACUGUUACUUUGAAAAAAUUAGAGUGUUUAAAGCAGGCUCACGCUUGAAUACAUUAGCAUGGAAUAACGAAAUAGGACGUUUGAUUCUAUUUUGUUGGUUUCUAGGAUCGACRUAAUGAUUAAUAGGGAUAGUUGRGGGCAUUAGUAUUCAAUUGUCAGAGGUGAAAUUCUUGGAUUUAUUGAAGACUAACUACUGCGAAAGCAUUUGCCAARGAUUGUUUUCAUUAAUCAAGAACGWRGARGUUAGGGGAUCGAAGACGAUCAGAUACCGUCGUAGUACUUAACYAAUAAACUAUCGCCGWACGUAGGGAUCGGAUGAUUAGUUUAAUUUUAAUGKYACUCUAGUUCCGGCGUACCKUAMCCGGKAACCUGAGCGGUG
rnacentral:rRNA from 1 species